rnacentral:rRNA from 1 species
CCUGACGACCAUAGCAAGGUGGUACCACUCCUUCCCAUCCCGAACAGGACAGUGAAACGCCUUUGCGCCGAUGAUAGUGGACGGACGU